rnacentral:misc_RNA from 1 species
UGUCGAUAGAGCCAGGAAGUUCUAUGGUAACCUUGACAUCAUGGUGACUGGACAUUCAAUGGGUGGGGCAAUGGCAGCAUUUUGUGGCCUUGAUCUUGCAGUUAACUACAAUUCCCAGAAUGUCCAGGUUAUGACAUUUGGACAACCUCGUAUUGGCAAUGCAGUAUUUGCAUCUUACUAUAGCAAUAUAGUGCCAAAUUCGUUUCGGGUUACGAAUGGAAAUGAUGUCGUCCCCCAUUUGCCUCCAUUUUAUGCUUAUUUUCCUAAAAAAACAUAUCACCAUUUUCCUAGAGAGGUUUGGCUUUAUAAUGUUGGAUUCGGAAG